GCCCCUUGCAAUGGGCAAAGAGACACCUUGUUGUUGGUGGUGUUCUUAUAUCUGUCAAGGUCAGAGCCGAUGGCAGUCCUUUGUUCCUCCUAGCUUGAUGCCUGACCUGGAGGCCAAAGCCAUCUUAUGCCUGAGACACAUAG